GCGCUAAUAGCGCCGCUCACGAUAACCGGCGCUCAGGUGCUGGUUCCCGGGGGCCGAGAAACGUCACGCGGGCAGGACAGAGGAAGACCCAAGAAGGGGUGAUGGAACAGGUGAAGGUGAUUUAGAAGGAGGCUGAGAAUGAGGAGCCAGUGAAGCAGCAGCAGAUCCGUCUGCAUGGUUCACAAUCUUGCCAGAAGAUAAUUGCAACUGUCAUUCGCUUAGGCUGUAUUUGGGACUGCUUGAGCAUGCUUAUGGAUCCUAACCAUA